GCGGGCACGCAGCGGUGCGUGCGUGUGCCCAGCCGUGGGGCUGCGGGCGAUGUCCUGCGCGGCCACACCCACCAGAUUGUAGCAACAAAGUUUAUUUCUAUCAGAAAUUUACUGUACAGCAAAAGUAACUUUAUUUUCAGUGUGAACCAUAUUUAAGGGAAUACUCAGUGCACUUAAGUUAUGAGAUGAAAUAAUUUACUUUUUAUAAAGGUUAUGUUUAGGUUGCAAACGCCCAGUGGCAGGGGAGGAACAUCAGGUGGUAGGUUUGGGGUUGGAUACUUUUGGUGCUCUCAGGUUGCCCUACCGGUUUUGAGGUCCUGUUGAAACAAAAAGUGGGACUGAAUCCAAGGACCUGCUCCUGCACUAGCAGAUCGAUGGGGACAGCACGGUGGCCAGGUCCUGUUCCCACAACAGGACAUGUCCAGAAUGUCAUUGUGGAGUGGACAACACUGCUGGAGCUGGUAGGCAUUCUGCCACAUAGAGGCUCAGCCAUGCUUCUCUGCAUCACCUCUCUCCUUCCCCAUGGCAGGAUCCAGCCUGCCUCUGCCUGCGACCCCAUGUAGUACCCUCAAAUAUGCUAGAGCAGUGUGACCUGCUGCCCAGGCUCUGGAAAACACCACAGCCCUUUGGACAAAUAAGAAAUGAGGGGAAACCCUGCAUUUUCCACCCUGUGCUCAGGUGCAUCUUUGCCAGAGCUGUGGGAACCUGGGGAAAGGUCUCCUUAGGGUGGAGCCUUCACGUGACCCUCACCUCAUCCCCACUCUCAUUUUCAUGCAUUGUGUCCUUUUGUGCUGCUGUUCACAUAUGAUGUAAGUGACAACCCCUGAAGUCAUGCAAGUGACUGUGAGGCUCAACACAUUGGCUCAUGGCCACCAUAUGGUCUGACACUGAAUGUAGCUGGGUCUGGAGAUGGCUGACCCAGCAGGAGAUGCCGACACACUGUCAGAAAUCAAGCACCAAGAUGAAAUUACAAAGACAAAAAAAAAAAGAUCUCUGGAAAAAGAAAUAAAAUAAAAGCUUGGUCUUUUCUUGUCUGGAUUGUCCCCUUCACUUGGAGAGGGAAAGAAAGUCAGCAACGAGUUGGGUAGGGUAUAGUGGAGACUGGAGGGCCUGGAAUGUCACACACCUGUUUCCAACUCCAGCUGAAUGGUAGUGAGGGGCCUGCUGGGGUUCUCCACUGAGCACAGGAGGGCUCAAAUGUGAGAGAGUUCUGCUAUAAAUGUCUACUAGUUGGUUGUAGUGGAAACAAGUUACAGCUGAAGGGACAAAGUAGAUAGAGAGGUCAACCUUCUCUACGACAAGAGCAGCCCUCUGGGGCCAGGUCCCUUCAUGGAUUCAUCUGUGUUUGUACCAUCAGGGAAUUCUGCUCCAUGUUUACACUAGCCCACAGAGUGCUCUUGGUAUUCAAGGAGAUCUGGAGAAGCCAGGACAGCCAGGGCAAGUGGAUUUCGAGAGUGGGAAAACGUUUCUACAGGCCAUUUCUCCACCUGCUCCAUUAGUGCUCUCUCUUCAUUGUGAAUCUUGACCUUCCACAGCAGAGCCAUGGAGGGAUUCCAGCCUAGGGCUGGCUGAAAGGACAGAAGAUCACUGCUCCCGAGGGACUGCAACUGCUGCAAAAUCCCCCAGCAGGCCCAGCUCAGCAGCAUCUGCUUUGUUCCACAGCACCCAGUGCUGGCUUGGGACUGGUGCUAGUGGAGCAGAGGGGGUCUGGGCUGGGGUGAGGCUGUUAGUCACCGGGGGCUGGAGGUGGACUGCUGCUUUUCUUGUGGAAAGGGGGGAGGCAGAUCACAUGUGUUGUGGAGGAGCUGCUGUGACCCAUGAGCCUGAUCUGUGGGAUCUGGCUGUAGGCAAUGGCUGGGUUAACACCACCCAGGCCUGCAACAGGAAAAGAGGAGUUUUCAAAAAUGGUUACCAAAAUUGCCUUAAAAAUUCCCCUCGCUUGGAUGCUCUCAAAAACAUUGUGUUUAAAGCUUCUCCUUAAAAACGCCAACAAACCUUUUUAGAGAUGAACGGUUUAUCUUUGCCACCCACAGCUACCUCCUGCCUGAAGAAUGUUCACUUGCAUCAGUCUGGCUUUCCGUCAGCCUAACUAUCAAUUUUUUACUUACCAAAUU